AGAUAGUAUUUUCCAGUCUGCCAGUGCCAUUGGGGAUUGCACUGUAGCAAACUAUUUCUGUGAGUUUCUGCUGAGAUCGACAAAUGAAGAAAUAUAGUGAAGACUUGGUGGAUACCCAGUUCUGCCAAACUAUCUAAAUCUUCUCAACAAGACAAGAACAUAAUGGAAAACAACAUGGAGCUUUGGAGCAUGGUGCUUGGUCCAACACCUUUGGAAAUCAACAAUGUUUUAGAUCAAAGCUGUUCCAUUUUCCUGGAUCCUAGUGGGGAGCUAACAUGGCGCAGAGCCACAGCCAGUCCAAGGACAUGUGGACCUGCCCUCAGCGUUCUUCACUCCACACAACACAGCUGACCCAGACAUCAUGUGCAGGAGGUACUGGCCAGCAGCCAGGAGCCCUGUGGUCCCUAUGAGGAACCACCAAGGUUCCUGUCCUCGCACCACCAAGGGCAUAUGCACCACCGACUACUUUUCUAGUUUCUGUAAUAUGUAGUGAUGUAGGGCCAUCAAAGUGGACCUUUUCUUGGGCUGUUGUUAAUGUCAAAUUUAAUUUGGCCAAGAGGUCUCACUGAGGGCUGCACUCUCAUCUCAUACUCAAGAUAGUUCUGUGACACGCACCUCUGGAAAGCCUGGUACCUAGAUGGCAGGGUCCUUCAUGUGGAGCUAUGAAUUCAGAGGAAGUGAUAAGCAGCUGGUCCUGCUUCUCUAGGAAGCCUGGCUUCAUGUAGAGCAAAGGAAGGUGGGGGCCACUUGAGUUACAUCUGGCCCCACAAGCUAAAGGGGACACAGAGGUUCAGGGGACCUCCAUUUUUUUUGUACAAAGCAGAAUGGCAGUGUCUCCAUGCAUAAAUCCAUGAAGCAAUAUGCCUGACAUCCAAUGCUUCCCUAGGCCCAAAGAGGCAUUUCAAGUGCUUCUGCAUCUACUCAGGUACCUCCUGACAGCAGGCUUGACACCAGCUACUGUCCAGCUCCCCAGUAAACCAGAUUCCCUCAUUGUUCCUAAUGGGGUCUAGACUGCAGGAGGAGGAAGCAGGUGGGCAAUGUCCAGAUUUCCAUGAUGACCCUCUGAGGAGAUAUCCGUGGCUAGGUUAAUGCACGACUACAGCAUCACAGAGGAGACUCCAGAACUCAAACUACCAAGGUAGCUCCACAGACUGACUCCUGGUAUGCAUAGAGGGCAGGCAAAUGCUGACUGGAGGGAAGGGUUUAGAGAGUUGAAGGGGAGAAAGACCAUCCUAGUGGGAGGAGAAUGUGAGUGAAGGCUUAUGGAUGAGAAGGAACCAGGCAGAGGGACCAAAGCAGGUGCCCUGACCAAGCAGAAGCAGAACA